GACGAACGCUGGCGGCGUGCUUAACACAUGCAAGUCGAACGGAAAGGCCCCUUUGGGGGUACUCGAGUGGCGAACGGGUGAGUAACACGUGAGUAACCUGCCCUUGACUUCGGGAUAACUUCCGGAAACUGUGGCUAAUACCGGAUAGGAAUCCUUGCUGCAUGGUGGGGGUUGGAAAGCUUCGGCGGUUUUGGAUGGACUGGCGGCUUAUCAGCUUGUUGGUGGGGUAGUGGCUUACCAAGGCGUUGACGGGUAGACGGCCUGAGAGGGCGACCGGCCACAUUGGGACUGAGAUACGGCACAGAUGCCUAAGGGAGGAAGCAGGGGGGAAGAUUGCACAAUGGGCGGAAGCCUGAUGCAGAAACGCCGCGUGUGGGAUGACGGCCUUGGGGUUGUAAACCGCUUUCAGCAGGAGCGAAGCUUGUGGUGACGGUACCUGAAGAAGAAGCACCGGCUAACUACGUG
rnacentral:rRNA from 1 species